AACGAACGCUGGCGGCAUGCCUAACACAUGCAAGUCGAACGAGACCUUCGGGUCUAGUGGCGCACGGGUGCGUAACGCGUGGGAACCUGCCCUUAGGUUCGGAAUAACUCCCCGAAAGGGGUGCUAAUACCGGAUAAUGUCUUCGGACCAAAGAUUUAUCGCCUUUGGUUGGGCCCGCGUUGGAUUAGAUAGUUGGUAGGGUAAAAGCCUACCAAGGCGACGAUCCAUAGCUGGUCUGAGAGGAUGAUCAGCCACACUGGGACUGAGACACGGCCCAGACUCCUACGGGAGGCAGCAGUGGGGAAUAUUGGACAGUGGGCGAAAGCCUGAUCCAGCAAUGCCGCGUGAGUGAUGAAGGCCUUAGGGUUGUAAAGCUCUUUUACCCGGGAUGAUAAUGACAGUACCGGGAGAAUAAGCCCCGGCUAACUCCGUG
rnacentral:rRNA from 1 species